GACGGAGGGUGCAAGCGUUGCUCGGAAUCAUUGGGCGUAAAGGGUGCGUAGGCGGCCGGACAAGUCUGCCGUGAAAGCCCAGGGCUUAGCCUUGGAAGGGCGGUAGAAACUGUCGGGCUUGAGUGCCGGAGGGGAGAGUGGAAUUCCCGGUGUAGCGGUGAAAUGCGUAGAUAUCGGGAGGAAUACCGGUGGCGAAAGCGACUCUCUGGACGGUGACUGACGCUGAGGCACGAAAGCGUGGGGAGCAAACAGG
rnacentral:rRNA from 1 species